GGCCUACCAUGGUGGUAACGGGUAACGGGGUGUUAGGGCACGACACCGGAGAGGGAGCCUGAGAAACGGCUACCACAUCCAAGGAUGGCAGCAGGCGCGCAAAUUACCCAAUCCCGACACGGGGAGGUAGUGACAAUAAAUAACAAUACGGGGUUCUUUCGGAUCUCGUAAUUGGAAUGAGUACAAUUUAAAUCUCUUAACGAGGAACAAUUGGAGGGCAAGUCUGGUGCCAGCAGCCGCGGUAAUUCCAGCUCCAAUAGCGUAUAUUAAAGUUGUUGCAGUUAAAAAGCUCGUAGUUGAAUUUCGGGAUCAAAUUGUCGGUCGUGCCUCGGUACGUACUGGCGUUAUUGGUUCCUCCCUUCUGAAGAACCACGAUGUCAUUAAUUUGGUGUCGCGGGGAAUCAGGACUGUUACUUUGAAAAAAUUAGAGUGUUUAAAGCAGGCUCGCGCUUGAAUACAUUAGCAUGGAAUAAUGAAAUAGGACGUUUGAUUCUAUUUUGUUGGUUUCUAGGAUCGACGUAAUGAUUAAUAGGGAUAGUUGGGGGCAUUAGUAUUCAAUUGUCAGAGGUGAAAUUCUUGGAUUUAUUGAAGACUAACUACUGCGAAAGCAUUUGCCAAGGAUGCUUUCAUUAAUCAAGAACGAAAGUUAGGGGAUCGAAGACGAUCAGAUACCGUCGUAGUCUUAACCAUAAACUAUGCCGACUAGGGAUCGGAUGAUGUAAUUUUUAAUGACUCAUUCGGCGCCUUACG
rnacentral:rRNA from 1 species